rnacentral:rRNA from 1 species
UAAGCAUGAAGCCCCCCUCAAGAUGAGAUUUCCCAUAGCGUCAAGCUAGUAAGAACCCUGAAAGAUGAUCAGGUUGAUAGGUCAGAGGUGGAAGCGUGGUAACAUGUGGAGCUGACUGAUACUAAUCGUUCGAGGACUUAACCAA